rnacentral:rRNA from 1 species
ACUUUCAACAACGGAUCUCUUGGUUCUGGCAUCGAUGAAGAACGCAGCGAAAUGCGAUAAGUAGUGUGAAUUGCAGAAUUCAGUGAAUCAUCGAAUCUUUGAACGCACAUUGCGCCCCUUGGUAUUCCAUGGGGCAUGCCUGUUCGAGCGUCAUUUGUACCCUCAAGCUCUGCUUGGUGUUGGGUGUUUGUCCUCUCCCUAGUGUUUGGACUCGCCUUAAAAUAAUUGGCAGCCAGUGUUUUGGUAUUGAAGCGCAGCACAAGUCGCGAUUCGUAACAAACACUUGCGUCCACAAGCCUUUUUAACUUUUGACCUCGGAUCAGGUAGGGAUACCCGCUGAACUUAAGCAUAUCAAUAAGCGGAGGAAAAGAAACCAACAGGGAUUGCCCUAGUAACGGCGAGUGAAGCGGCAACAGCUCAAAUUUGAAAUCUGGCUCUUUCAGAGUCCGAGUUGUAAUUUGCAGAGGGCGCUUUGGCGUUGGCAGCGGUCCAAGUUCUUUGGAACAGGACGUCACAGAGGGUGAGAAUCCCGUACGUGGUCGCUAGCCUUCGCCGUGUAAAGCCCCUUCGACGAGUCGAGUUGUUUGGGAAUGCAGCUCUAAAUGGGAGGUAAAUUUCUUCUAAAGCUAAAUACUGGCCAGAGACCGAUAGCGCACAAGUAGAGUGAUCGAAAGAUGAAAAGCACUUUGGAAAGAGAGUCAAAUAGCACGUGAAAUUGUUGAAAGGGAAGCGCUUGCAGCCAGACUUGCCUGUAGUUGCUUAUCUGGACUUUUGUCCAGUGCACUCUUCUGCGGGCAGGCCAGCAUCAGUUUGGGCGGUUGGAUAAAGGUCUCUGUCAUGUACCUCCUUUCGGGGAGGCCUUAUAGGGGAGACGACAUGCAACCAGCCUGGACUGAGGUCCGCGCAUCUGCUAGGAUGCUGGCGUAAUGGCUGUAAGCGGCCCGUCUUGAAACACGGACCAAGGAGUCUAACAUCUAUGCGAGUGUUUGGGUGUCAAGCCCAGACGCGUAAUGAAAGUGAACGGAGGUGGGAACCUUUUAGGUGCACCAUCGACCGAUCCUGAUGUCUUCGGAAGGAUUUGAGUAAGAGCAUAGCUGUUGGGACCCGAAAGAUGGUGAACUAUGCUUGAAUAGGGUGAAGCCAGAGGAAACUCUGGUGGAGGCUCGCAGCGGUUCUGACGUGCAAAUCGAUCGUCAAAUUUGGGCAUAGGGGCGAAAGACUAAUCGAACUAUCUAGUAGCUGGUUCCUGCCGAAGUUUCCCUCAGGAUAGCAGUAACGUAUUCAGUUUUAUGAGGUAAAGCGAAUGAUUAGAGGCCUGGGGGUGAAACAACCUUCACCUAUUCUCAAACUUUAAAUAUGUAAGAAGUCCUUGUUACUUGAUUGAACGUGGACACUUGAAUGUACCGUUACUAGUGGGCCAUUUUUGGUAAGCAGAACUGGCGAUGCGGGAUGAACCGAACGCGGGUUAAGGUGCCAGAAUAUACGCUCAUCAGACACCACAAAAGGUGUUAGUUCAUCUAGACAGCAGGACGGUGGCCAUGGAAGUCGGAAUCCGCUAAGGAGUGUGUAACAACUCACCUGCCGAAUGAACUAGCCCUGAAAAUGGAUGGCGCUCAAGCGUAUUACCCAUACCCCGCCGCCGGGGCAGAAUUUAUGCCCCGGCGAGUAGGCAGGCGUGGAGGCUCGUGACGAAGCCUUGGGGGUGACCCCGGGUCGAACGGCCUCUAGUGCAGAUCUUGGUGGUAGUAGCAAAUACUCAAAUGAGAACUUUGAGGACUGAAGUGGGGAAAGGUUCCGUGUGAACAGCAGUUGGACACGGGUUAGUCGAUCCUAAGAGAUAGGGUAGUUCCGUUUUAAUGUUGGCGCUUGCGCCACGCCCUCGAAAAGGGAAGCCGGUUAACAUUCCGGCACCUGGAUGUAGAUUCUCCGCGGCAACGCAACUGAGAGCGGAGACCUUGGCGGGAGCCCCAAGAAGAGUUCUCUUUUUCUUCUUAACGGUCUGUCACCCUGAAAUCGGUUUGUCCGGAGCUAGGGUUCAAUGGCUGGAAGAGCGCUGCACUUUUGUGGCGUUUGGUGCGCUCCGACGAGCCUUGAAAAUCCGCUUGAAGAAAUAGUUUUUUACGCCAGGUCGUACUCAUAACCGCAGCAGGUCUCCAAGGUGAAAAGCCUCUAGUUGAUAGAACAAUGUAGAUAAGGGAAGUCGGCAAAAGAUCCGUAACUUCGGGAAAAGGAUUGGCUCUAAGGGUUGGGUACGUUGGGCCUUGGAGAGAAGCCUCUGGCGCAGAAGGGCACUAGCCGCAAGGUGGGCGCCUUUCAGCGCUGGGGUGCGGGCAUCCUUGGCAGGCUUCGGCCGUCCGGCGUACGUUUAACAACCAACUUAGAACUGGUACGGACAAGGGGAAUCUGACUGUCUAAUUAAAACAUAGCAUUGCGAUGGCCAGAAAGUGGUGUGUUGACGCAAUGUGAUUUCUGCCCAGUGCUCUGAAUGUCAAAGCGAAGAGAUUCGACCAAGCGCGGGUAAACGGCGGGAGUAACU